rnacentral:rRNA from 1 species
CCUACGGGAGGCAGCAGUAGGGAAUCUUCCGCAAUGGACGAAAGUCUGACGGAGCAACGCCGCGUGAGUGAAGAAGGUUUUCGGAUCGUAAAACUCUGUUGUUAGAGAAGAACAAGGAUGAGAGUAACUGCUCGUCCCUUGACGGUAUCUAACCAGAAAGCCAUGGCUAACUACGUGCCAGCAGCCGCGGUAAUACGUAGAUGGCAAGCGUUGUCCGGAUUUAUUGGGCGUAAAGCGAGCGCAGGCGGUUCUUUAAGUCUGAUGUGAAAGCCCCUGGCUCAACCAGGGAGGGUCAUUGGAAACUGGAGAACUUGAGUGCAGAAGAGGAAAGUGGAAUUCCAUGUGUAGCGGUGAAAUGCGUAGAUAUAUGGAGGAACACCAGUGGCGAAGGCGACUUUCUGGUCUGUAACUGACGCUGAGGCUCGAAAGCAUGGGGAGCAAACAGGAUUAGAUACCCUGGUAGUCCAUGCCGUAAACGAUGANUGCUAAGUGUUGGAAGGGUUUCCCGCCCUUCAGUGCUGCAGCUAACGCAUUAAGCCCUCCGCCUGGGGAGUACCACCCCCANGGUUGAAACUCAAAUGAAUUGACGGGG